rnacentral:rRNA from 1 species
UACGGAAGGUGCAAGCGUUGCUCGGAAUCAUUGGGCGUAAAGGGCGCGUAGGCGGCCGCGCAAGUCUGGCGUGAAAGCCCCGGGCUCAGCCCGAGAAGGGCGCUCGAAACGGCGCGGCUCGAGUGCCGGAGGGGAGAGUGGAAUUCCUGGUGUAGCGGUGAAAUGCGUAGAUAUCAGGAGGAAUACCGGUGGCGAAAGCGACUCUCUGGACGGCAACUGACGCUGAGGCACGAAAGCGUGGGGAGCAAACAGG